CCUACGGGUGACAGCAGUGAGGAAUCUUCGUCAAUGGGCGCGAGCCUGAACCAGCCAAGUAGCGUGAAGGAUGACUGCCCUACGGGUUGUAAACUUCUGUUAUCAAGGAAUAAAGUGAGGCACGUGUGCCUUUUUGUAUGUACUUUAUGAAUAAGGAUCGGCUAACUCCGUGCCAGCCGCCGCGGUAAUACGGAGGAUCCGAGCGUUAUCCGGAUGUAUUGGGUUUAAAGGGAGCGUAGAUGGGUUGUUAAGUCAGUUGUGAAAGUUUGCGGCUCAACCGUAAAAUUGCAAUUGAUACUGGCAGUCUUGAGUACAGUUGAGGUAGGUGGAAUUCGUGGUGUAGCGGUGAAAUGCUUAGAUAUCACGAAGAACUCCGAUGGCGAAGGCAGCUUACUAAACUGCCACUGACAUUGAUGCUCGAAAGUGUGGGUAUCAAACAGGAUUAGAUACCCGAGUAGUC
rnacentral:rRNA from 1 species